UGCCUUGGGGCUGCUCUAACGCUGUCACCCUCUGGAGGUGAGAGUGGCUGAGCGGUUCCCCUCGUCCCCCCCGCAUACCCUGCCUCCUCCCCUCACGGCCAGGAUCGGAGGCCCUAUCCCAGUGUGGGGGGCACUUCCCGCCCCCUCGGGUGCCCGGAGCAGCCCCCUCACCUGGCUCUGUCUCCCCUCAGUGGCCCAUCAGAGAGCAGCAGCCUGCCCCCGAGGAAGCCGAGGACCCAGCCGCCCGGCGUCUCCAGCCCGGCGUCCCCUGGGCAGAUGCCCCAGCAGCAGGAGUCCCUCCCCCCGCCGGUCUCCAGCCCCCCGGCCCGGGAGCCCAGCUCGGCCCAGAAGCCCAGCAGCUUCCUCUUCCGCUCCUCGUCGCGGACCGCCAUCAAGCCCG